GCCUGCUGAGGCCUCUGCUCAGGCCAGGAGUCCAGCUGCUGAUGGGCACCCGCCCUGGGCCAGCUGGGCUCAGUUCCUGACCUGGGUUAGGUGGCUUCCCCCACCUAGGACGGGUCCCCGUGUCUCCCCUGUGCUGAGGUGACCCCCCCUCCUUGCUCCCAGGAGCCUCCAUCCUUGCAGCUCCCCAGCUCUUGCCUUCCAGCAGGUGCCCACCUGCCUGCUAGGUCCCCUGUCCUCCCUCCCAGCUUCUCUGCUCUGGGUCACUUGGCCUCGACUUGAACCUCUCAGCACCUCCUCCUGCUCCCCAAUAAACUCUCCUUGGUCACCUGAUUCUCUUUUCUGUUGUGUUCCUGGGGGACACAUGGUUUUGAGCUGACAUUGGUCUCCUCCAGCCAUGAUUAUUUUUAGGAAUG
rnacentral:lncRNA from 1 species